CUGAUGUUGAAACCCACAGAAAACAGAAGAUGGAUGCUGUGAAAACAUCAGAAUGCUGGACUCUGGUGUUUGUCUGCCUCCUGCUGUCUGUAACUACAGAUCAGAAAAUCAUCACAGCUGAGUCCGGACAGAGCGUCACACUGCCGUGUCGAGCUCCACAUGACAGCAAAACCAUCACAGUAGUAGAGUGGAGCAGAACUGAUUUGGAGUAAGAACAUGUGGUUUUGUACCGAGAUGAACAGUUUGAUCCAAAUGA